UACGUAGGUGGCAAGCGUUGUCCGGAAUUAUUGGGCGUAAAGCGCGCGCAGGCGGUCCUUUAAGUCUGAUGUGAAAGCCCACGGCUCAACCGUGGAGGGUCAUUGGAAACUGGGGGACUUGAGUGCAGAAGAGGAAAGCGGAAUUCCACGUGUAGCAGUGAAAUGCGUAGAGAUGUGGAGGAACACCAGUGGCGAAGGCGGCUUUCUGGUCUGUAACUGACGCUGAGGCACGAAAGCGUGGGGAGCAAACAGG
rnacentral:rRNA from 1 species